ACUCAAGUAGUAUAGUGGUUAGUACUCCUCGUUGUGGCCGUAGCGACACAGGUUCGAUUCCUGACUUGGGCA
rfam:Syphacia muris strain Valencia genome assembly, scaffold: SMTV_scaffold0000701